rnacentral:rRNA from 1 species
CGGAGGCCAUUGCUAUUGGGAUCCGAUUUAGCCAUGCUAGUCGCACGAGUUCAGACUCGUGGCGAAUAGCUCAGUAACACGUGGCCAAACUACCCUUCGGAACACAAUACCCUCGGGAAACUGAGGCUAAUAGUGUAUACCAUACCACCACUGGAAUGAGUGGUAUGCCAAACGCUCCGGCGCCGAAGGAUGUGGCUGCGGCCGAUUAGGUAGACGGUGGGGUAACGGCCCACCGUGCCAAUAAUCGGUACGGGUCAUGAGAGUGAGAACCCGGAGACGGAAUCUGAGACAAGAUUCCGGGCCCU